AGAGUUUGAUCCUGGCUCAGAUUGAACGCUGGCGGCAUGCUUUACACAUGCAAGUCGAACGGUAACAGGUCUUCGGAUGCUGACGAGUGGCGAACGGGUGAGUAAUACAUCGGAACGUGCCUAGUAGUGGGGGAUAACUACUCGAAAGAGUAGCUAAUACCGCAUGAGAUCUAAGGAUGAAAGCAGGGGACCUUCGGGCCUUGUGCUACUAGAGCGGCCGAUGGCAGAUUAGGUAGUUGGUGGGAUAAAAGCUUACCAAGCCGACGAUCUGUAGCUGGUCUGAGAGGACGACCAGCCACACUGGGACUGAGACACGGCCCAGACUCCUACGGGAGGCAGCAGUGGAGAAUUUUGGACAAUGGGCGCAAGCCUGAUCCAGCAAUGCCGCGUGCAGGAUGAAGGCCUUCGGGUUGUAAACUGCUUUUGUACGGAACGAAAAGCUCCUGGCUAAUAUCCGGGGGUCAUGACGGUACCGUAAGAAUAAGCACCGGCUAACUACGUGCCAGCAGCCGCGGUAAUAU
rnacentral:rRNA from 1 species